UUCGGUAGAUUGGAUGAAAGUUGAGUGGCGGACGGGUGAGUAACACGUGGGCAACCUGCCUCACAGAGGGGAUAGCAGUUGGAAACGACCUGAUAAUACCGCAUAAGCACACAGUACCGCAUGGUACAGGGUGAAAAGNUUUAUCACUGUGAGAUGGACCCGCGUCUGAUUAGCCAGUUGGCAGGGUAACGGCCCACCAAGGCGACGAUCAGUAGCCGGUCUGAGAGGAUGAACGGCCACAUUGGGACUGAGACACGGCCCAGACUCCUACGGGAGGCAGCAGUGGGGAAUCUUCCGCAAUGGGCGAAAGCCUGACGGAGCAACGCCGCGUGAGUGAUGACGGCCUUCGGGUUGUAAAGCUCUGUGAUCGGGGACGAACGGUCAGCAGACGAAUACUCUGCUGAAGUGACGGUACCCGAAUAGCAAGCCACGGCUAACUACGUG
rnacentral:rRNA from 1 species